UACACUCCUGCGGGAGGCAGCAGUGGGGAAUUUUGGACAAUGGGCGAAAGCCUGAUCCAGCCAUGCCGCGUGCAGGAUGAAGGCCUUCGGGUUGUAAACUGCUUUUGUACGGAACGAAACGGCCUUUUCUAAUAAAGAGGGCUAAUGACGGUACCGUAAGAAUAAGCACCGGCUAACUACGUGCCAGCAGCCGCGGUAAUACGUAGGGUGCAAGCGUUAAUCGGAAUUACUGGGCGUAAAGCGUGCGCAGGCGGUUAUGUAAGACAGUUGUGAAAUCCCCGGGCUCAACCUGGGAACUGCAUCUGUGACUGCAUAGCUAGAGUACGGUAGAGGGGGAUGGAAUUCCGCGUGUAGCAGUGAAAUGCGUAAAUAUGCGGAGGAACACCGAUGGCGAAGGCAAUCCCCUGGACCUCUACUGACGCUCAUGCACGAAAGCGUGGGGAGCAAACAGGAUUAGAUACCCCAGUAGUCCCAUG
rnacentral:rRNA from 1 species